GACAGGAUGGCCGAGAGGUCUAAGGCGCCGCGUUAAGGCCGCGGUCCGAAAGGGCGUGGGUUCGAACCCCACUUCUGUCA